rnacentral:ncRNA from 1 species
CAUCGUGAGAUGUGGGCGAGAAGAAGCAAUAGCGAAAUCGUAGCCUGACGAACAGAAAUCUGAUACGAAGGCUUGCAUAGCGGAUAAGCGGGCUACAAGUCGUGAAGUCCAAAAGGCAAUCGUAACCUAUGCAAGUAAAUCAGGCAGGUAGACGAGGAAAGACU